rnacentral:tRNA from 1 species
GGGGUUGUGGCUCAGUGGUAGAGCACUUGCCUAGCAUGUGCAAGGACCUGGGUUCAAUCCUCUGCACCA